UGCGCAGGCGGUUGUGCAAGACAGGUGUGAAAUCCCCGGGCUUAACCUGGGAACUGCACUUGUGACUGCACAGCUGGAGUACGGCAGAGGGGGAUGGAAUUCCGCGUGUAGCAGUGAAAUGCGUAGAUAUGCGGAGGAACACCGAUGGCGAAGGCAGUCCCCUGGGCCUGUACUGACGCUCAUGCACGAAAGCGUGGGGAGCAAACAGGAUUAGAUACCCUGGUAGUCC
rnacentral:rRNA from 1 species